GUACAUUUCACCUUCAGGUCUAGUGGGAAAAACACCAUUUUCCUCAGAAAAUAAGGGAGGGGAGAGUACUAGAGAGAAACUGCCACAAAAGCUUCACUGAUGGGCUUGGAACUGCUGUCACUAGAGUAGUACCCAGCAGAGAAGACCACCUGGGCAGUGAUGGAGAUCAGCCAGCUCCCAGUGCUCUCCUCUCUCGUGAUCCCACGGCUUAUUUUGCAACAAGGCUCCUGUAUCCCUGGAGAGGUGCUGUUCCAUGGAGCACAUGGGGACCUCAGGGAGCCGGGAUGUCACCACGCCUCUCUCCCUCUCGCAGGUGGCUCUUCGGUGGGAUGUACCAGGCACACAUGGGCGUGCUCUGAUGCGGGGAGGUUUCGGAGAGCGGGUUCGUUCAAACAGAGUUGGUCACACAAGCCCUGCAGGGCCGACACCUCGGGCAGCGCCUGCAAACACAGAGAGCAGCCCCGCAGCACCCGAUUGCCAUCACCCAGACACUGCCCUGCACCCCAGUCCUGGCGGCUCUGAAAACACUGUCUUUACUUCCGGGAAACCCGAUGUACAGAUUUAAACAGGAAAUUUACAACCUUCUUGCUCAAAACUUGACUUCUCCUCACCCCCCUGCUUGGAUCGAGCCUGUAAGCGUUUAAGUCACCUCACUGUUAUCCUGUGUGGGGUCUUAGUUCCUCACCUCCCCUGCUUAUGUUGACCUUCUCUUGCUGCACAGUCGGCAAUUUAAAUUCUGGGGCACAGGACAAAGGCUGGGCUUGGUCACCUCUUCCCUGCCCCCCUUGGAAGGGCUGACUUUUGCAGCUGUCCUGUGUGGGUUAGUGGGGCUCCCUCCUAGUUCUGGACCCUGGGCAGUCACCUCAGUUGCUCUCUCCUAAACCUAAUUCUGUUCUGCUUUGUCCAGAAUAUAAUGCUCCCUGGAAUUCAUUGUAAGUGCAGAGCAGGGUCAGGGGAGGCUUUAGGGACAGCUUGGGUGCUGUUAGGACUCGAGCUGUGCUAAAGGCACUUUAGGCCCAUUUUUGUACAAUUGGCUGUUAAGCCAUAGUGGUUUCCUGAGCUGGCUGUUGGAAAAUCACCUCCAGCAAGCUUGGCUCCCUGCAGCUGCUGCUGCUGUCUCUCCUGGUACCCAGGCUCACAGGGAUCUGUGCAUGGCUCCUCCUCCCACCCAUGCCAGCUCACAUCUAAAAAUCUCUGGUGCCCAUCAGUGGAAGGUCCAGUCCUUGGUACUUCUCCAUCCUGAUCCCAUUCCUUGUGCUUUCUGUCCCUGGCUCUGACCCAGCUGACAAGAACCAACACCCAUCAAGCCAUUUUACUACACUGAAUGGGGACUGAGCACGGUGGAACGGGCACAGAUCUCAAAGUCAUGUGUUUCAAAAUCAUCUCUUGCUUUGAAGGAUCUGAUACCGCUUUAGUCUCAUGCUCCUGUAAGGCAAUCUAGUCUCCUUGCACUUCACUGCAGCUGCUUCUAGGGAGAAGUAUGGCAGCUGCUCCACACAGCAUAAGAGAACACUUUGGCAAAAUGUUUGUGCUUGGCUGCAUCUGCAGAGGAAAAUUAGGGAGAGGGAAUGUAGUUGUUGGAGUUUAGCCAGGACAUUGGGAUAAAACACCUGCACUUUUACCGUGACAUGAUAAUUUGCAGUAAAGGAAAGCAUACUCAGUCAGUGUUAGGUCACUCUUCUGGGUGCAUAGUGUCAUGAGGAAUGUUCUUCCCUCUCCAUCCAUGGGGAAUAGGGUUUUAAUUCUUCGUACAUGACAAUUGCAUGAGCCAACCUUUUCCCUUAACAUAACUCAUAGAAAGAGGUAGUGGUCCUUUCUAAUUUUGUAGGGGCCAUGGGGAAACUGUUGGUGUGGUCUUCUGAAAUAACUCUGGUUUCCUGGGCUUUGGUUUCACGUAUAAUUAGAGAAAUAAAGGCAAAACCAGAAUCUUGGAUCUGGUCA
rnacentral:lncRNA from 1 species